rnacentral:rRNA from 1 species
AUUGAACGCUGGCGGCAUGCCUUACACAUGCAAGUCGAACGGUAACAGGUCUUCGGAUGCUGACGAGUGGCGAACGGGUGAGUAAUAUAUCGGAACGUGCCCAGUUGUGGGGGAUAACUACUCGAAAGAGUGGCUAAUACCGCAUACGACCUGAGGGUGAAAGCGGGGGAUCGCAAGACCUCGCGCAAUUGGAGCGGCCGAUAUCAGAUUAGGUAGUUGGUGGGGUAAAGGCUCACCAAGCCAACGAUCUGAAGCUGGUCUGAGAGGACGACCAGCCACACUGGGACUGAGACACGGCCCAGACUCCUACGGGAGGCAGCAGUGGGGAAUUUUGGACAAUGGACGCAAGUCUGAUCCAGCCAUGCCGCGUGCGGGAAGAAGGCCUUCGGGUUGUAAACCGCUUUUGUCAGGGAAGAAAAGGGCGACUCUAAUACAGUUGCCUCAUGACGGUACCUGAAGAAUAAGCACCGGCUAACUACGUGCCAGCAGCCGCCGUAA